AUUGAACGCUGGCGGCAGGCCUAACACAUGCAAGUCGAGCGGAUGAAGGGAGCUUGCUCCUGGAUUCAGCGGCGGACGGGUGAGUAAUGCCUAGGAAUCUGCCUGGUAGUGGGGGAUAACGUCCGGAAACGGGCGCUAUUACCGCAUACGUCCGGAGGGAGAAAGUGGGGGAUCUUCGGACCUCACGCUAUCAGAUGAGCCUAGGUCGGAUUAGCUAGUUGGUGGGGUAAAGGCCUACCAAGGCGACGAUCCGUAACUGGUCUGAGAGGAUGAUCAGUCACACUGGAACUGAGACACGGUCCAGACUCCUACGGGAGGCAGCAGUGGGGAAUAUUGGACAAUGGGCGAAAGCCUGAUCCAGCCAUGCCGCGUGUGUGAAGAAGGUCUUCGGAUUGUAAAGCACUUUAAGUUGGGAGGAAGGGCAGUAAGUUAAUACCUUGCUGUUUUGACGUUACCAACAGAAUAAGCACCGGCUAACUUCGUG
rnacentral:rRNA from 1 species